AUUGAACGCUGGCGGCAUGCCUUACACAUGCAAGUCGAACGGUAACGGGCCUUCGGGUGCCGACGAGUGGCGAACGGGUGAGUAAUACAUCGGAACGUGCCCGAGCGCGGGGGAUAACGAGGCGAAAGCUUUGCUAAUACCGCAUACGAUCUACGGAUGAAAGCAGGGGACCGCAAGGCCUUGCGCGGACGGAGCGGCCGAUGGCGGAUUAGGUAGUUGGUGGGAUAAAAGCUUACCAAGCCGACGAUCUGUAGCUGGUCUGAGAGGAUGAUCAGCCACACUGGGACUGAGACACGGCCCAGACUCCUACGGGAGGCAGCAGUGGGGAAUUUUGGACAAUGGGCGCAAGCCUGAUCCAGCCAUGCCGCGUGCAGGAUGAAGGCCUUCGGGUUGUAAACUGCUUUUGUACGGAACGAAAAGCCUUCUUUUAAUACAGGAGGGUCAUGACGGUACCGUAAGAAUAAGCACCGGCUAACUACGUG
rnacentral:rRNA from 1 species